AGAUCUGGUUGUUUAAAAGUGUGUAGCACUUCCCCUUUUGCUCUUUCUCCUCUGCUGCCCUGUGAAGACAUACUUGCAUCCCCUUUACCUUCCACCAUGAUUGUUAGUUUUCUGAGGCCUCCCCAGUCAUGCCUCUUACACAGUCUGCAGAACGAUAUGGGGUCUUGGUCUUGCUGUUUUGUCCAGGUUGACCUUGAACUCCUCCAGCCUCCUGAGUACCUGAGAGUACAGGCAUACACCACCACAAAAGACUUUCUCUCCAUUAAAUAAAUAGGAUAAAUUCCUUUGUUAAUUAAAAAAUGUAGCAGAUUCUGAGUCUAGAGUUCUCGCCUCAGUUGUGCAAGAAAAUAAAAUGUGCUUAUAGCAGAUUCAUUAUCAAAAACACAGCAGAAAACUUUUGCUUUCAGACAAAUUGGUACUGUGGUCCUGGAAACAAGUCUGAACAGAGGGGUGGUGGAACAGAUUGCUUCAGCCCUAAAAUCAGAGUGUGCUAAUAAAAUGGCUGAAGAGGACUCAUGAAAUCUCAUUUUGGUUUUCAGUGGAAGCCACCUGUCUUUACUGCCUAUUUCCCAUCUGAGAAACUGCUGUACUCUCUAAAUUAGAUAAAAAAAAAAAAAUGCAGACAUUCAGAUGUAUUGGGUAAGGAUUCAACAUUU
rnacentral:lncRNA from 1 species